UCGUGAAUUCAUCUCCGGGGGUAGAGCACUGUUUCGGCAAGGGGGUCAUCCCGACUUACCAACCCGAUGCAAACUGCGAAUACCGGAGAAUGUUAUCACGGGAGACACACGGCGGGUGCUAACGUCCGUCGUGAAGAGGGAAACAACCCAGACCGCCAGCUAAGGUCCCAAAGUCAUGGUUAAGUGGGAAACGAUGUGGGAAGGCCCAGACAGCCAGGAUGUUGGCUUAGAAGCAGCCAUCAUUUAAAGAAAGCGUAAUAGCUCACUGGUCGAGUCGGCCUGCGCGGAAGAUGUAACGGGGCUAAACCAUGCACCGAAGC
rnacentral:rRNA from 1 species